CAGCCGGCCACACGGCCAUAUUUGGAAAAGAUGGUCUCCACAUCUGAUUUCUUCACCACAGCUGUGUUUAGGUUUCCAAUGAAGACUCGAGAAUUGAUGGAUUUGGGAUCAUUCUUGUUGGUUACAUUGCUCGUCUGGAUCUUCAAGGACAUGGUAGCCACCUGAGGACAAAAUGUCACUAUGCUCCCAGACUGGAAAUUGGCAUGUUCUGAUCAGCAGGUGGCACUGUUUACAAGGAACUCACAGGCUGUACCAGAGAUUUGGGAUUCUGACAGUUCCUACAGCUGGGUUUGCAUUAAGCUCAAUGGACAUACUGGGGACAGGCAUGGAACAUUCUAAAGCAAGGAGACUGAAGGGUAAUAUUGCUACCGAUAAAGGGCCUGGUAUCGGCUUUGGGACUUGGAACUGACAGACACCUGUUACUCAAUUUAUCUUUAGACCCAAUAAUUAGCAUUUAUAAACCAGUAAAGGACACACAGGAGACAAACCAUAAAAACAUCUAACACUGUCCAUACACAGCAGGAAAUGCUCAAUGCAAUGUUAGUUUCCUCAGACUCCCCAUUCUUCACAGUUCUGACAAGUCCCUCUACCUGGAUGACAAGUGACUCAAGGAUUAAUUCCUUAUACAUUUACCAGUAUAUACAAAAAGUUUGUGGGUGCCUGUAUGAACACAGAUGACUGGUUCUGUUCAGAGCUGAUGCCAGAGAUGCCAGUUGAUUUGGCUGAUGGGAGCCAACCAGGUCUGUGCUGUGGACUGAGACGGAAGAGACGGAGUGAUGAUGGUUCAGAGACCUGCUGAUGACUGCUGGCUCUGCCACUGCCCUAGCAGGGACACGACAGUUUUGAGUUCCCUCAGACCUCUGCCAGGGGCCUCUACCACCACUGAGCAGGAAGCAUUUGCUGAGCACCUCAGCUUGGUAGUGUGAAGGGAUUAGCACUCACUUUUUGCUGUUGAGUAGUCUUUCAGGUUUGGUCCUACUCAGUCUUUUUAUCUCAUUACCUGGCGUCUGGGAAAAUGUACAUAAAAGAACUUUGCAAACUGUUAGGUCCUUACAAGAUUAAUUAUUCUGACCAUAGUGCUUCUCAUUCUGUUAACACUGUCACUCGUGGGCCCAUUAUGGAUGAAGGUCAAGGUCAAACUAGAGCACAUUUUGUAUUAUGCCAAAGAGAAUCAGCCAGGAGCCCUAUCACAUGAAGGUCUGUUUGCUAAUCUGUAGGAAAAAAAAACAACAAAAAACUCAGGAAAUGUAUCUUCUAGGUGAGGAAUCUGCCAGGCUAAGGAGAAAAGUCCACCUGGAACAUGCUCUUAGGCACCCACCUAACCAGCCCCCAGUCUGCAACCUGCAUAGUAAUGGAACUUUAAAAAGUUAGAAUUGCUUCCUUUAGACACAAGUGGCUUCUCCAAACUUAGACCUAGGGCAUAAAUGCCGUUCUCUCUCCUCCUCAGCCCAGAUGAACAGACAGAAUAUGCACGUGCUGGCACCAAGAAGUCAGGGUCCAGGAGAGAUAAAAGAAACACAGAGAAGUCUAUUGUCUCACUGUAUUCCCCCUUCCCUCUGGUCCUUGCUAUAAAAGGUUCAAACACCUAUAUCUAGUGAGAUAGUGAUUUGAUGCGAAACAAGGCCCUUCUAUCUCCUUGGAGUUAGCCACCUUUGGUUUGGUCAGCAGGAAACAAACAGACCUGAGCAUGUGGACCUGAGUGGCCAAUAACAAACCCACUUUUAAGACCCACACAAUCCUUUGGAGGAUUGUGCUGCUGCUGUAUAGAUGCCCUAACCCCAAAAGGACAAUCAUCUGUGGGGGUGUGGUAAAACUUGAAUGACUACCCAUAUGCAUUUCAAAGUGAGAAAUGGAGUUAGGAACAGGAAAUGAAAAGGAAGUGGGAUCCACACUAUGUCUCCUUGAACUGGCGAGUUGAGGUACAGAAAUCCUAAGAGUUCAAGAAUUCUAAAUAUAGACAUGUUUCUUCUAGUUAUUAUAACUAUCUCAAUUUGUGAGCUUUGCUUACAGCCUUCAAGUAUUUAGACAUAUGGUGCAGGGUGUCCAUUUGUACUCUUACUUUGUCCUGUAAUGUAGAAGGCAGACUUGACAAAGUGUUUAAUAAAUGUUAGGAGAACGUGA